GGCCCAAGGAGUUCAAGGCCUGCCUCAUCAGCCUGGGCUACGACGUGGAGAACGACUGGCAGGGUGACGCCGAGUUCAACCGCAUCAUGAGCCUGGUUGACCCCAACCACAGCGGCCUUGUGAUCUUCGAAGCCUUCAUCGACUUCAUGUCUCGAGAGACCACUGACACGGACACAGCCGACCAGGUCAUCACCUCCUUUAAGGUCUUGGCAGGGGACAAGAACUUCAUCACAGCCAAGGAGCUGUGGAGAGAGCUGCCCCUCGACCAGGCCGAGUACUGCAUCGCCCACAUGGCGCCCUACCAGGGCCCUGAUGCCGUGCCCGGUGCCCUCGACUACAUGUCCUUCUCCACCGCCCUGUAUGGCGAGAGCAACCUGUGAGGCUCCAGAGACCCAGACCAAACACCCCCCACGGCCUCCUGGAAGGUCCGCAGAAGCCCCACAGUCCUGUUCCUCCACUCUGUUAAAAAAAAAAAAAAAAAAAAAAGAGGGAAGGAGGUAAGAAAAGAAAA